rnacentral:rRNA from 1 species
GACGAACGCUGGCGGCGUGCUUAACACAUGCAAGUCGAGCGGUAAGGCCCUUUCGGGGGUACGACGAGCGGCGAACGGGUGAGUAACACGUGGGUGACCUGCCCUCAGCUCUGGGAUAAGCCUGGGAAACCGGGUCUAAUACCGGAUAUGACUCCAUGACGCAUGUUGUGGGGUGGAAAGCCUUGUGCGGCUGAGGAUGGGCCCGCGGCCUAUCAGCUUGUUGGUGGGGUGAGGCCUACCAAGGCGACGACGGGUAGCCGGCCUGAGAGGGCGACCGGCCACACUGGGACUGAGACACGGCCCAGACUCCUACGGGAGGCAGCAGUGGGGAAUCUUGCGCAAUGGGCGAAAGCCUGACGCAGCGACGCCGCGUGAGGGUGACGCCU